AAGUGGUGUGAAUUGCAGAAUCCCGUGAACCAUCGAGUCUUUUGAACGCAAGUUGCGCCCGAGGCCAUGAGGCCAAGGGCACGCCUGCCUGGGCAUUGCGAGUCAUCUCUCUCCCUCAAUGAGGCUGUCCAUGCAUACUGUUCAGCCGGUGCGGAUGUGAGUUUGGCCCC
rnacentral:rRNA from 1 species